rnacentral:rRNA from 1 species
GAUGAACGCUGGCGGCGUGCCUAAUACAUGCAAGUCGAGCGAACAGAUAAGGAGCUUGCUCCUUUGACGUUAGCGGCGGACGGGUGAGUAACACGUGGGUAACCUACCUAUAAGACUGGAAUAACCCCGGGAAACCGGGGCUAAUGCAGGAUAACAUGUUGAACCGCAUGGUUCUACAGUGAAAGGCGGCUUUGCUGUCACUUAUAGAUGGACCCGCGCCGUAUUAGCUAGUUGGUGAGGUAACGGCUCACCAAGGCAACGAUACGUAGCCGACCUGAGAGGGUGAUAGGCGACACUGGAACUGAGACACGGACCAGACUCCUACGGGAGGCAGCAGUAGGGAAUCUUCCGCAGUGGGCGAGAGCCUGACGGAGCAGCGCCGCGUGAGUGAUGGAGGUCUUCGGAUCGUAAAACUCUGUUAUUAGGGAAGAACAGAUGCGUAAGUAACUGUGCGCGUCUUGACGGUACCUAAUCAGAAAGCCACGGCUAACUACGUG